rnacentral:rRNA from 1 species
UACGUAGGGGGCUAGCGUUGUCCGGAAUCAUUGGGCGUAAAGAGCGCGUAGGCGGCCAGAUAAGUCCGGUGUGAAAGUCGGGGGCUCAACCCUCGGAUGCCGGUGGAUACUGUCGGGCUUGAGUACGGAAGAGGCGAGUGGAAUUCCUGGUGUAGCGGUGAAAUGCGCAGAUAUCAGGAGGAACACCAAUUGCGAAGGCAGCUCGCUGGGACGUUACUGACGCUGAGACGCGAAAGCGUGGGGAGCAAACAGG